UCGCCAGACUCCUACGGGAGGCAGCAGUGGGGAAUAUUGCACAAUGGGGGGAACCCUGAUGCAGCAAUGCCGCGUGAAGGAUGAAGGUUUUCGGAUUGUAAACUUCUUUUGUACGGGACGAAGAAAGUGACGGUACCUGACUAAGAAGCCCCGGCUAACUACGUGCCAGCAGCCGCGGUAAUACGUAGGGGGCAAGCGUUAUCCGGAUUUACUGGGUGUAAAGGGAGCGUAGACGGCGGUGCAAGCCAGAUGUGAAAGCCCGGGGCUCAACCCCGGGACUGCAUUUGGAACUGUGCUGCUAGAGUGUCGGAGAGGCAGGCGGAAUUCCUAGUGUAGCGGUGAAAUGCGUAGAUAUUAGGAGGAACACCAGUGGCGAAGGCGGCCUGCUGGACGAUGACUGACGUUGAGGCUCGAAAGCGUGGGGAGCAAACAGGAUUAGAUACCCUCGUAC
rnacentral:rRNA from 1 species